CUUAGGACUUUUUCAAAUGUAACGCCUGUUUAUCUCACUCCGCGUUGGAAAACUCACACCGUCAACAUCGCGGGAAAUCCACGGGGAAACCCGACUUCCAAUGGCCCCAUUGGGAUAAACCAGCCUCGAACCGAUGGACCGGAACAAAUUGGAUAUCAGAGGGUGAAAACGAAACGUCGACUAAUCGGAAAUUUGGUGCAGACAACAGCUGGAGGCGGAUCCCCGAUCAGUGUAUAAUGCGAGACAAAAGAAACGCUCUGCACUGUCCUUGGGACAUCCGUGUUGGCGUCGUAGUUACUUCCGUGGCAACAGUUCAUCAGAAUAGCCAGCAGUGGACUCCCCAGCGGCAGCUGGAUCCAAGACAGGAUUUGCUUGCGGCAGUCGUGCAUUGAUGUACGGAUACCACAUGAUUUCGUUACCGAUCUUGCGGACCGAUUCAUUCUACAGUCCGUGUGCGGCCAUGUCGAUACAUCGGAGACGCAGCAGUAUUCCGGAAGUCGUUUUGCCGUUCUUUAAGUUUUCAUCAUAGGUACUUAUCCUGUUCAAUAAAAUAUACAAGGCUUUUCUGCCAUUUUCUAUAAUA